rnacentral:tRNA from 1 species
GGACUGUUAGCUCAGUUGGUAGAGCAGCCGACUCUUAAUCGGCCGGUCCUUGGUUCGAGCCCAAGACAGUCCACCA